GCUCAACCGAGGAAGUGCUUCGAAAACUGGUAAACUUGAGUGCAGAAGAGGAAAGUGGAACUCCAUGUGUAGCGGUGGAAUGCGUAGAUAUAUGGAAGAACACCAGUGGCGAAGGCGGCUUUCUGGUCUGUAACUGACGCUGAGAUUCGAAAGCAUGGGUAGCAAACAGGAUUAGAUACCCUGGUAGUCCAUGCCGUAAACGAUGAGUGCUAAGUGUUGGAGGGUUUCCGCCCUUCAGUGCUGCAGCUAACGCAUUAAGCACUCCGCCUGGGGAGUACGACCGCAAGGUUGAAACUCAAAGGAAUUGACGGGGGCCCGCACAAGCGGUGGAGCAUGUGGUUUAAUUCGAAGCAACGCGAAGAACCUUACCAGGUCUUGACAUACCAUGAAAAGCUUAGAGAUAAGUCUUUCCCUUCGGGGACAUGGAUACAGGUGGUGCAUGGUUGUCGUCAGCUCGUGUCGUGAGAUGUUGGGUUAAGUCCCGCAACGAGCGCAACCCUUAUUAUCAGUUGCCAGCAUUCAGUUGGGCACUCUGGUGAGACUGCCGGUGACAAACCGGAGGAAGGUGGGGACGACGUCAAAUCAUCAUGCCCCUUAUGACCUGCGCUUCACACGUGCUACAAUGGUCGGUACAACG
rnacentral:rRNA from 1 species